ensembl:lncRNA
GCAAAACCAGCUGCAAACUGCUGCUCUGCCCUUUGCCUGCUGAUGCAGAUGGGAGCUGGGGAUGGAGCAGAAAUCCAGCUGCCCUCGCCAUGCCAACAUGCCAGACCCUGCCACUGCUCUUCUCCCGCAGGCAACCCGCACCAUCUACCACUUCCACUACAAGAACUGGCCGGACCACCACGUCCCCUCCUCCAUCCAGCCCAUCCUGGAGCUCGUCAGGGACAUUCGCUGCUACCAGCCCGAUGACAGGGUCCCUGUCUGCAUCCACUGCAGGUGGGUGACCUGGCUGCCACAGGGAAGGGCUCCCAUGGCCCCAGGGGUCACAGGGCAGGGAAGCUGGCCAAGCCAUAGCCAAGCUCCUCUUGUAGGGAGCCUUGAGGCAAAGGGCUCCUCUGAGGACAGCCAGCAUGGCCAGGGGACAGGGAAGGAGGCAGCAGCAGGCCAGCAAUAGAAUCACAGAACCAUGGAAUUGUUUAGGUUGGAAAAGUCCCUUAAGAUGCUUGAGUCCAACCGUUCGCCCAGAACUGCCACCGCUAAGCCACGUCCUCAAGUGCCACAUCUACACAUCUGUUCAAUGGUGACUUCACCACUGCCCUCAGCAGCCUGUGCCAGUGCUUGACAAUGCUUUUGGUCGAGAAAUUUUCCCUAAUAUGCAACCUAAACCUCCCCUGGGGCAACCUGAGGCUGUUUCCUCUUGUUCUGUUCCUUGUUAGCUGGGAGAAGAGACAAACACCCAGCUGGCUACACCCUCCUGUCAGGGAGUGAGAAUGCCUGGCUCAGAGACCAGCACUGGCCACGUCCAGGUGUGGCUGGUCACCACAGGAGGACUGAGAGUUGUUCUCAGGGGAUGAGCUGCGCCUCCCAACCCUGUGUGGGCUGAAGCUGCAGCAUCCUGCGGGUCUGCAGGAUGUGCGUGGGGCAGCAGGGUCACAGGUGGCUGUGGGUGCUCUCCAAACCCCCCUGUCAGAAGCACAGCGUGCCCAGCUGUGCCCUGUGGCUGUCAUUGCAGUGCUGGCUGCGGCAGAACCGGCGUCAUCUGCGCCAUCGACUACACCCAGAAGCUGCUGAAGGACGGGAUCGUUCCAAUGAACUUCAGUGUUUUCAGCCUGAUCCAGGAAAUGCGCACACAAAGGCCCUGCAUAGUGCAGACCAAGGUGUGUCUGGGGAAUGCCACCAGCUGGCACCUCGCCUUUCCCCCAGGAGGGCUCACAGCAGGGACACCCAGAGCAGUGGUGCUGGUGGGAGCUGGGAGAUGUUGAGCAAAGUCCCUUUUCUGAACAGAACAAUGAUUUGGCAGAAGUUCGUUUGGUAGCUGAGUGUUUCCUUGUGGACAGCUGGGCCAGUGCUCGCAGUGGGAUUUAUCAAAUGCUUACACUGUGAGACCACGACUGUCCAGGCAAUAAAGUGGGAACUUUACUCAGCUGCAACAGUCUGAAGAGGAAGCUCAAUGCAGAACAGUGUGUUUUGCACGCCUCAAAACCCCCCAAAAUGCUUCAGUGUGAACCCUGGGAGACUUGUGGCUUCUGCCUCUUCUCAAAAUUCACACCCUGCCAAUGGACAGGAAAGGCAGCUUCUCUCAGGGCGGUGCUUGCUUGGGGAGAUGUGGCCAUUUACAGGUCCCACCGGUGCUGGCUGUGACAUUUGGUGCCUGUCUGGAAUGCAGGAGCAGUAUGAGCUGGUUUACGAUGCGGUGAUUGAGCUCUUCAAAAGGCAGAUUCAAGCCCUCGAUGGCGAGAAAGAUUCUGCUGCUUCACAGGUAAAAGUCCCAGGACACACACUCUGCCUCUUGGGCACUCCAGCUCUAGCCUCAAUUCCUGCUGCAGAUCUGGGGUGAAUUCCCAUAUUUUCUGCUUCCCUUGAUACCCAAACUGAGUUUCUUUUGACAUUAACCCAUGAGAAUUCAACUCUUCCCCUCAAUGUGCAAUGCUUAUCACAAACAAGACCUAGAUUUUCUUCAGCCUCAAAGCCAUUUUCUAUUUUCUAUCUAUUUUUAUGAUUGUUUAAUGUUAUGAGUGAAUAGAACAGCACAAAUUUUCUACAGGACUGACUGAUUUCCAUAGGGAUGUACCAGUGAAACUUGGGGGAUUUUCAGACCAGGCUGGGAAGGUCCAGGUUGGGAAGCUUGGGAUCACAAGGCAGUGAGGCUGAAAGUGUUACCUCGUGUGUGCUAGUGAGGGAAUCAGCAUUACAGCCUGUCUGUGGGAGGGUAUAGGGGGAAAUACCUUGUGAAAAAACAUGGCAAAGUCUCACAAAUCUGUUACACCUCUGAGGAAAAGAAAUGUGAUCUUGGUGUGAAGUUGCAUAUUAACAGGAAUAGCCAAAACAUCUCUGGUUGAGGUUUUCUUUGCUCUUGCUGUUCUGUAACUGCUGACAUGAGCUUCACUGGAUCAAAUCCAGGAAAGUAAAUGCACCACAGCAAAGCCUGGAAGGUCACAGUGAGCUCAUUUUGUCAGAAACUUUCAUCUAAAAAAUUGGGAAGGGGAUCCUGCAAUGGGACUCAUGCCUCAGUUUUGCCAUAGGAUUUGUAGUUCAUUCUGAGUGAGAAAAGAACUGGAAAAAGCCUUUUUGGACUGGUUAAGGACCGUCUGUGAGCAAAGGUCACAAAGGGCUGGGUUGACACAAAAUGCAGAGGACUUUUCAAGUCAGGAUGUGGUUUUGUAUCUCUUGCCCAAACCUCUCGCCCCCUUAAACCUCCCUGUCCUCUGAGGGCAUUGUGCAGAGCAGGGGGAUGGCCAUGAGCUGCUGCCAUGCACAAAACCAGCACCCAGCUUGCCCAGUGUGGGCUCCUGAGGGCAGAGUGUCUGCACAGGCUGCCUGCCAGCUGUUUGGCACAGCUGGAUGUUUGCAGGGCUCGCUGUACUCUCAUUUCAGAAAGGUGCUGGCAGAGUUGCCCUUCAGGAAGUUCUGUCUGCAGUUUUCAGCUCCACCUUGGUGUCAUUUCCCAAGUGCUUUAGAAAUUAGAAGGAUUUGGCAAAAAUCCCAGCUCCUGAAGCAGCACGUUGGUGUUCUUUACAUUCUGCCUCCUCAUUCUUGUUUGCAAACAUUUCUUUUCCCCAGGAAGGAGCAGGGCAUCCUGUAGUCAAGCCAGUCCCGACUCCAGUGGAAGACAUUUAUGGCCUGAGUUUACUCACCUGGUAAGGCACAGGUAUCCCUGGUUGGUGUUUGCAGUCACCCACAUGAUUUCAGAGAGAUGAACUUGUUGAUGUGUGCUCUGGAACACUUUAUCCCUCAGGAUCUGCUGCCUCCCUUGAGUACUACUUUGACUCUCAUGUUUAUUCCUAACAUAAUUCAUAGAAUUGUAAAGGUUGAAAAAGUUUCUAAGGCCACGGAGAACAACCAUUAACCCAUGACUGCCAGGUCCAACAUGAACCAUGUCCCCAAAUGCCACAUCUGCUUGUUUUAUGAGCACUUCCAUGGAUGGUGUCUCCAUCUUCCCUGGGCAGCCUGUUGCAAUGCCUCAUCACCCUUUGAGUGAAGAAACUUUUUCUGAUUUCCUAAUAAUUCCUGCUCUUCUCACUGAUGUGUCUCAGCCUCUUCCCUGUGUGCCAUUAUCUGUCCCCUUCUUCUGCCCUGGGUUUCACAUGUGAACUGGAAACAGUAUAAAACAGUACAAAAGAGUAUAAAAAAGUCUCAUGAACAUGGAGGCUGGGUCAUCCCAGCCCUCUGCCUGGCACGGAAUGCCCCCACACUGCUCCUAUCAUCCAUCUGCACGUUCCACUCCAGUGCCCCUUGCUGCAGGAAUAGCAAUCCUGAGGACGCAGCUUCCCAAUACCAGCAGCUUCCAAGGGUGGUGGGAUCUCUCUGGGAUUGCAGUGUCUGCUUUCUGUAAAUAAUCCUGCCUUUGGUUCAGCUUGAUGACAUAAAGAGGCCUCCUCUGUUCACCACUGAAAUGGAGGGCAAUCCUUCCCUGUGCUCCUUGCUCGGGCUGGGCUGGGCUCUGCAUUCCUGGAGGAAUUGCUCCUGGGAGCAGUGCUGUGGGCUGUUAGUGGGCUCACAUUAUCUGAGCCCUCCACAGCUUUGACUCCACACCACUUUAUUGUGCUUUUACUGCAGCUCAGAGCGAGAGGAGCAGGCUGCACACCAACAUCUCCCUCCGCAGGAGGAUAAACACCGACAUCUCUCUCCGGUGGCACAGAGCAAAGCAUCCCUGCCCCCUCUGGGCGCCCUGGGUGCAC